rnacentral:rRNA from 1 species
UACGUAGGGGGCAAGCGUUGUCCGGAAUUAUUGGGCGUAAAGCGCGUGUAGGCGGUCCGGUAAGUCCGCUGUGAAAGCCGGGGGCUCAACCCUCGGAUGCCGGUGGAUACCGUCGGGCUUGAGUACGGAAGAGGCGAGUGGAAUUCCUGGUGUAGCGGUGAAAUGCGCAGAUAUCAGGAGGAACACCAAUGGCGAAGGCAGCUCGCUGGGACGGUACUGACGCUGAGACGCGAAAGCGUGGGGAGCAAACAGG